GCCAGGCAUGGUGGCGCACACCUGUAAUCCCAGCGACUUGGGAGGCUGAGGCAGGAGGAUCACAAGUUCAAGACCAGCCUCAGCAACUUAGUGAAACCCUGUCUCAA
rnacentral:sRNA from 1 species